GCCGGUGUGGCGAAACUGGUAUACGCACCGCACUCAAAAUGCGGCGGUCGCAAGGCCAUGUCGGUUCGAUUCCGACCACCGGCACCA
rnacentral:tRNA from 1 species